UACAAAUACAUGUGUCUUCUUGGUAGAACAAUUUAUAUGCCUUCAGGUAACUACUCAGUAAUAGGAUUGCUGGGAUUCAUGCGGAGGCGCAGCGGCCCUGGCCAACUUUGUACAAAGGAACCCGACACAGUGGAGGCUCUGGACCUGGAAGUGGGUCCUGCCCGGCCAUGCAAAGACUCAAACUGAAGCAUUGCUCUUCCUGGAUCUCCAGCCUGCCAGCCUUUUGACUAGAGCUAAACCAUCAGCUCUACUGGGUCUCCAGUUUUCCAGGUCACCCUACAUAUCCUGGAAUAUGCCUGCAUACCUGCCUCUAAAAUAAUGUCAUAUAUGUAUGUGUUCAAAGGCAGUCAGACAGGAAGAAUUCCUCUUUACUUCCAGGAGAGUCACCCUUUUGGUUCUAUUCAGGCCUUCAACUGAUUGCGUGAGUCCCAUUCACAUUAGGGAAGGCAAUCUGCUGUACUCAAUCUGCCAAUUUAAAUUUUAAUCUCAUCUGAAAACACCCUCACAGACACACACACACACACACAGACACACACACACACACACAAAGUAAUUUUUCAUCAGACAUCUGGGUUUCCUGUGGCCCCAUCAAUUGGACACAUAAAAUUGGCAUCACAAAGAGCUACUUAUUAUUUAUUUUUUCCACUAUUUCCACUGAACUUUGUAAGUAAAACCAUAGCCUUGCUUUUAAUAAUGUUUUUUCAUUUUACAUCAACUUUAUUUAUUUUACAAUUUAUAGAUUCCUUCAUAAUCGAUGUUCCAUUUAUUUCUUAAGAUCUGUUAAUUUAAUAACAUAUAACAUGUUUACUAUUGUAUAGAUAGAAUUUGAACUAAUUGCAGCAUAAAUUGCAUAAUAUCUUAGAUGAAAUCGCAUUGCUUCUAGUAAAAUAACUUUAAAGAUUGCCAAUCAGAGGUUCUUAAUUGAUUAAGUAUAAUAGUUUCUGGUAAAUAUUUUGUAAGUAAUUUGUGGACCCACAAACAAAAAUCAAUAAUUUAACAGCUAGCUGGAGCUUAAACUAGUUUACCUAAUGUUAAUUUGUAUAGAAAGAGGUAUGCUUUUGACUAGGAAAAACAUGUUAGUAUAACAGCCUUGUAUCUCAAAGCCAACUCCUCCACCAUCACUACCCCCAUCUACACACACACACACAAAAUCUAGGAGGGAGAAAUUUGGGCAAAUAUUUUUUCAUUUUAUAUUGUAAGAUGUGUAUUACGUAACAUAUUUUUAUAUGUUAUCAUUCAUGGGUUUUACAGAAAAAUGCUGUGUCAUUUUGUUUUUCCAGUAAAAGUCAUUAUUCAACAAUACGUUUGUCCUGAAACAUGUAGCAUCUUAUGCUACAAAUAGAGUGAAA
rnacentral:lncRNA from 1 species